UACGGGGGGUGCGAGCGUUGUCCGGAAUCACUGGGCGUAAAGGGCGCGUAGGUGGUCUUAUAAGGGUGUGGUGAAAGCCCGGGGCUCAACCCCGGGUCGGCCGUGCCGACUGUAAGACUAGAGUGCUGUAGGGGCAGGCGGAAUUCCCGGUGUAGUGGUGAAAUGCGUAGAUAUCGGGAGGAACACCAGUGGCGAAGGCGACUACCUGGCCUGUUCUUGACGCUGAGGCGCGAAAGCUAGGGGAGCAAACGGG
rnacentral:rRNA from 1 species